rnacentral:misc_RNA from 1 species
GUGUGUGUGUGUGUGUGUGUUUGGCAUUUGUCUUAUGUGAGUAAGAUGGUAGCUAUGGACAACAUAUUCCCCCCAUACGUUUCCCUUUUGUCAUAAGCAAGCAUGGAUUCAUAAAUAAAUUAAAGGUUAUUGACAAAAAAAGUCCAAACUUUUGCUCUUAUUUACAAUUAUGGUCAAUCCUUUUAAAAUUUUAAUUAUAUACACAACUUGUCAUAUUGGUGUCAAUUAUAGCCAAAGUUAGAAGAGCACAAGCAAUAACUCCCAAAAUUGUUAACAUGGCGUAUAAAAACUUCAGAGAAAUAUAUUGUGAAGGAAGGAGUAGAGGGAGAAGACAUAGUGUUUGGGAAAUGAUGUAAUCUUUAAUAUGAUUGUUAAAGUUUGGAAAAUGACUUUUAUGACAAGGGAAAGUCAUUUUCUUUCAAAAUGUUUUAGUUUUCCUACUGAUAUACCAUAUAAUAUGCUAACAUGAAAAACAUCAAUAAAAUAUAAAUCAUGUUAGCAAUUUGAGAAGUUCAGCAUUUGCAAUUCCAAAUUUAGCUACAACUGAUGCUAACACGAUAGGUUAUGUAUAUAAUUGAUAAAAUUAAAUUGAUCAUUCAUAAUUCCAAAUUUGAGUGAACAAUCUAGACCUGGCCAAUGGCCGAUUCCAGAUCGGAAAUGGUCAAACCUGUCUAUGACUCAAACCAUAAAAGAAUCGGAUUGGAAUUGAACUAGAACUGAACCGGAUGGUUUCGGUCUGAACCACCUUUUUUAUAUUUAAAAAAAAUCUGAAAAAAAUUAUAAACCUUUCGAUUUGGACCUAGAUUGAACCAGAACCGAAACCAAAACCGUAGGGGUUCAUGGUUUCGAUUUCGAUUCACCCUUUUAGGUGAACCGGAACCGGCCCAGUGGCCAGGUCUAGAACACACUUCAAUAAUUUCCAGUCUCUGAUUCCAUAAAAUUAUCAUUGUACUUUUCAAAUAAUGAAAUCAAGGUGGGAUAGGGCAAUGAAGUGUAUAGGAAGAUUGUCUAAGCAUUAUGCACUGUUGCAGUGUAAAUAAACUCAACUCAACUCAACUCA